GCAACUUGUGGCUACAGAAUUGUCCACCGCGACGGAUUAUACGUCUGUACCUUGUCAUGAACGCCAGAUUGAAUUGCUCGGUGUUCAUCAACCUUUUGAGGAAACCCACGACGGUGCACAUGGAGUGGCUACAUGGGUACCCGACGAUCAGACAUGCAACGCAGCUUGCCACCCGUUGUGGUACGCCAGCAAUGAUGUCAUUGCACUGGCGAACAACAAGGAAUGAGCCCUUGUGUGUAAUCCAGAAGUCAGUGCUGCACCUAUCUUGCCUCGGGCAAUACUUCUGCUUGGAACUGUUUUCAUAUUGAACCUAUACUUCAC